AUUGAACGCUGGCGGCAGGCCUAACACAUGCAAGUCGAGCUAGCGGCGGACGGGUGAGUAAUGUCUGGGAAACUGCCUGCUGGAGGGGGAUAACUACUGGAACCGGUAGCUAAUACCGCAUACCAUCAGAUGUGCCCAGAUUGGAUUAGCUAGUAGGUGGGGUAACGGCUCACCUAGGCGACGAUCCCUAGCUGGUCUGAGAGGAUGACCAGCCACACGGGAACUGAGACACGGUCCAGACUCCUACGGGAGGCAGCAGUGGGGAAUAUUGCACAAUGGGCGCAAGCCUGAUGCAGCCAGGCCGCGUGUGUGAAGAAGGCCUUCGGGUGGUAAAGCACUGUCAGCGGGGAGGAGUUACCCGCAGAAGAAGCACCGGCUAACUCCGUGCCAGCAGCCGCGGUAAUAC
rnacentral:rRNA from 1 species